UACAGGAGCUACUGCCACGUUCC
rnacentral:miRNA from 1 species